rnacentral:tRNA from 1 species
GGGCUUCUAGCUCAGUUGGUUAGAGCGACCGGUUUACACCCGGUAGGUCGGGGGUUCGACUCCCUCGAAGCCCA